rnacentral:lncRNA from 1 species
UAGACACAUAAGUAAAUUCUUUAUUUCUUCACAUAUACAUUAUACAGUGUUGUUGCAUACAUCAAACGCAUCUCAUACAUUAUUCAUCUAAAAUAGAAAUAAUGAAAAUUAAAUAAAAAUGUUGGUGUGAUCUGUGACCACACCUUAUUGCUUUAGGAGAUUUUAAAUAUAAGAUUUAGGCAAAAGAGAAAAUUUAGAGUUGCUUGAUGUCACAUAUUUUGCAAUCAAACCAUUUUGGGGCACAAAAUUAGUAACAUUAGCCAUCUCUUAGUAGCUUCCAAAACUAUUUAUUUCUUAGGUAAACUGUGAGUUUUUGGGCAAUUGAAAAUCAGUCCCUAAACUCAAAGUAAUCUCCAUAUUUUUAAAGUCUAUGGUACUAUAAUGCAAAAGUUACAAAUAUCAUACUUUUCACUAGAUUUUUAUUUAAUUGCAAAUCUGUGAAAAAUUAUGCUGAGCCUCCACCGAAUAAACCAUGCUUAGGUGUCAAACAGGGAGACCACCAGUAAAACCUUAGUAGGUGAGUCACCUAGUAGUCAACCAUGUCCCUGUGACAAAAACCAUAUCAGUGUGAACUCCAUCCUGACCGAGCCUCGUUUUCCUCGUAGAGACCAAAACCAGUAGCAAGAAGAACCACCAUAACCAGAGAGUUAGAGAAGAAAAGAAAAAUACAAGAGGGCAAAAUCACCCAACAACAGGUGGAGCAGGGGCUCCAGCUCCAUUAGGAACAGGUACCCCAGCUGAAGGAGGAGACGCUGAUUCAGUAGAAUCAACCAACCAAUAGAAGCUGCAGUAGAAGCAAAAGAGGAGUUCAACCAUAUAUUUUCACAACCACUGAAUAAUCAACAAAGAAGUAAACUAGUUUAAGAUUUAGGAAAGAGUAAAUAAUGUAUAUAUUAUAUUUCCUGAUCACACGCAUUAGCAAUUUCAGAUUUUUAUUCAUGCAAGCAUCAUCCAUGGCAUAUAAUCAUGAUUGAAAUCAGAUUAUUUACAAAUCAAGAAUUUAGAGACCAUAUCAUUUGCAUUACAAGGUUACAGUGGCACACAUCCAACCAAUACUUUUAUUGUGAGACAUUAUGAGAAAUAGAACAGAAAAAUAGAAGGGGGAAAAGGGAUAUGGAGUUACUGGUGAGGGUUGUGGCUGCCGCAGUUGCCAUUGAGGUAUUGGCCGUCUCCACGGCGACCACCACAGGAGUUGAGUACCAAUAGUCAUGAAGGACAGCAAUGC